GUGUUUUUUUUGAUUCACUGAUCCGAACUGAGUCAUAUGUUGUGCAGAAGAGUUAACACAGCCAACCAGAGACUGCUACUUAGAAGAGCCUGCAAGGAUUUUCCUGGUCUUAUCUGGUGCUGACACGGGAGAAUAAUAGAAGCUAACGCAAACGCGGAGCUGCCACUGAAGAGAAAGAAGACUGGGGGACGUUUGCCAGCAAGAAGUAGACAUGUUUUGAGGGUGAGGGCUUAUUUCCAGCGGGAAGAAUCAGAUUAUCUGGAUGGUUUGAACCACUCAUGAAAAGAAACAAACAGAACACCUGCAAAUAUGAAGCCAUGUGACACUCAGGUAAAUACCUGCACCUAAAUGGAAGACACACACAGUAUAGUGGCUAAUCCACUGCAGUCUAGAUUCAAGACUACAAACCUCAAAUGGGCACUUACAGCUGCUUAGAAUGCUCUUCCUGACAGUCUCCUCUUCAUGGUACCAAGCAGACACAAGAGGUACUUGUGCUGAUACAAAGAAGCAGUCAGAUGCACCGAGAAGAAAAACUUUGGUGUUUAAGAACACUCGCUAGUAAGGUAUGAACAUACAUGGAUACAGCGGCAAGAGAACUGGAAUGAGAGACCAUAUACCCUACUGCCAUCACUGUACUGUCGGACACGUCACGUUUCCUGUUUUCCAACAUCUAUAAAAUAGGAGGCAAGCCACCAAUGUCCAAUCGGUUUUCACAUGAAGGUACAUCUGUCCCGGAGUUGAACAAGCACCUGGAGCCAGAGAACCCUGAAGGGCUGGUCUAAAAGGAUGAGCUCUGUCUCCUUUUCCCUGUCUACCAUUGGAUGAGUCACAUUAUCUUCUGUUAAGUGGGGAUGCCGUUCCACGCCCUGCCGACCCGGAUGAUGGCACGAUGUUAGGAUCCGGGGAGACGGAUCUGAAAGUGCUCUAUGGGUUCAAGGGUUUUUAGUUAAAUGGAGCUUAAAUCUGAGCCACUUCACUGAUAGGUGUGAAAUAAUCUCAAACUAUGUGCUUGAAUAGCUUGCAAUAUUAGAUGAUUUCUAAUCAUCUAAUGGGUGGUAUGGAACAAGUCGAUGGCAAUGUGAAUUAUUCUUUGAAUUCAGAUUCCACUGUGACAGAACAUCUCCUGUAAUUUCUGGGGAGUGACCCAGCAGAAAUGCAUACACAUAUUUAUGAAUACAGACAAUAGUCCAAAGCCCUACAGUGAGUUGGGCCUCAAACUUCUAUUCCUUCUCCCUGUUUAGGAAAGCUGUCCCUAGCUCCUGGCACCAAGUUCCCAAACCUGCCUCCAGAUUACAGAGUAUGCUCAGCAAAGAGUUGUUGCCUCGUCAACAAUGAGCAUUAGCACAGCAGUUGGACUGGAAGGAAAAGCCUUUGUCUAUUAGGAAGCCUGCAGAGCUUGGUUGCUAGGCAACCAAGUCUGGAGGCAGCAACCAGUGUGCACCACAUGGGAAUCCAGGAAGGUGGGCCUGGAAAAUAGGGAGAGGCAAUUCUUAGAGUCAGCUGAGGCAGAAGAAGAAGAAGAAACAAAACACUGUCCUACUACCCAGGUAAAGAAGGGGUGCCUGCAUGGAAUUAAGGUGUGCAUUUCAGCGUGAAAAUGCUAAGUGCCAGCACUCACAGGUGACUAACUAUACUGUCAUCUGGAAACCUGUGUGACCUUGAGUAGGUGGCUUUUUCCAGCCUCAGGUUGCCUGGCAAAAGCAGAGAGCGAAGGAGCCAGGUAUCACUGACUUGCCCCAUCCCUGCCACUGCAGGCACCACACACGCAUACCUUCUGAAAACAGAGAAACAUGGGCUUUUGCAUACUGUAUUUGCAUGAAAGGAUUGAAAGAAGAGGAUAUAUCACUAAAAACUUGGGAAUAAAUGGUCUUUGGGAUUCCUUAAGCUUCAGGUUACAAACAAAAUGACUAUUUCUUCUUCAUAAACAUAACUAAAUAUUUACACAGGACAGAAUACGCCAAACUCCAGAUAUGGGGGAAGUUCUCUUUCAUAUAGCCAAACUCUUAGAGUGCCUCUGUCUUAAAAAGCAUUCCUCAGCAGUCUGCCAGCAUAUUUAAAAAAUGCAAAAUUAGAUACUUUUGGGGGAAUUAAGUCAUGAACUACUCCUGAGCCACACGGAGGUCUGGCACAUCAAGUAAAUAUUCAGUUUAAGGUUGACAGUGAAUUUAAACUCAAAGGAAUGAGGCACCUCCCAGUGAAAUUUGCUAUGAAGGGGUAUCCAGGGUGGAGAAUCAAGCAGAGGUUGGCACAUGCAGGCCCAUGAGGGCUGGGGCAUCACAGAGAGAAGGCACUAGAUCAUAAGAUUUGCAGGUAGGAAGAGAGAGAUGUGAAGCAGGACUUCACUUAUUUUAGCUGUUCACCUUGGAUAUGUUACCUAAAUUCUCUGAUGCUCAGUUUACUCACCAGUACAAUGGGAACAAGAAUAGUAUGUACCCCUAAGAGAUGCUAUGAACUUUAAACAAAAUAAUGCAUGGUAACCACUUAGCAGAGGGCCUGGCAUAUUGUAAACGAAGAAUAGAGGCUAGUGAAUGUGUCCAUGUAGACUCUUGGAUCGGUGUCACAGAGUAAACCUGGCUGAGAUUAUGGUUUGUUUUUUUUAAAAAAGGAAAUGCACGUACAGCUCAGGGGCAAGACGUUGUCACAGAAAAGUACUAUAGUAGGAGUUGGGAGAUCAGGCCUCUGUGAAGGUCUAGGUCACUGUCAAGCAGUUAGAGUCCCGAUGUGCAAUUGUGACAGCUCAGAGGUUGCACAAAAAAAGCAGGCUUAUGCCCAAGACCACCUUCCCCAGCACCAUGGAGACCUACUCCAGACAGAGUUCAGCUCCAAGUGCAGAUGCUUCCAGUCUGAAAUCUUAUUUGUGGAUAUCACUUAUCUUUGAGUACUUUCGGAGCCUUCCAUAUCCUGGAAUCUGGGACCUGUGCUCUGAGUGGCCGGCUUUCCAGAAGACCACAUUUGCGGAUUCUUAUCUUUUGUGCAGGCCUUGCUCUGCACCAUGUGUGUCCUCUUCCUCUCUGGGUUAAUGUUUUCUCCCCAAUACAAAGAAAGAUUGGCCUAUUUGAUCUUUGAUUCUGCUCCAGCUUGUCUUUUAUACAUUUUCCCUAAACUUUUCUUCAGAGUCUUGGAGAUUUUUAUUCAUUCAUUCAUUAAACAGGUUCUCUUGCAUGCCUAAUCAGUGCCAGGCACUAUCAGAGGCACUGAAGAUACAUGCAUUGGUAACCACCUGGCAGAAUCUCUGCUGUUAUGCAGCUGACAAUGGCAGGAGAUGAACCGUGAUCAGGUAGGCAGAAAUGUCUGUUUAUUUCUGAUGGUGGUAAAUGCGACCAAGUAUAUUAAAAGACAGGACUCUUUCAGUUAUCUAGUACAGUGUAAAAACCCCACCCCAACUCAUGUACUGCCUUAGAACAAUUAUUUAUUAGUUCUCAUGAAUCUUGAAUUGACUGGGUCAGCUGAGUGGUUCUCCUCCUCCACUUGCAAUAGCCAAGUGAUUCAUGCAACUGCAUUCAGUCGGGGGGUCGUUUGGGGCUGGAACAUCCAAGAGGAGUUGUCAUCCUCCAGGGUCUCCCCCGCUUGUCAUCACCCCAUAUUCCUCCCCAAGCUUCUUUGUCGAAUGGCAGCUGGACAUUUAGCCCCAGUGCGCAAGUGCUCUCAAAGCUUAUC